AUAAAACCCAGCAUUCACAAAGUACAGAAAGCUGGUGCCUGCAAAUCCUUGCUAAUAUCACUUGUUUGAGUGUUCUGUAUCAGCAGCACUGCAGCUGGGAGAUAAACUCUGUUUGCUCCAGCUGUGACACCUGCACUGUAGCUGUCCCUGCUUCUUGAAGCUUGUGUCUCUCAGAUCUUGCUGGAAAACCCAAUUUAGCAUCUUCUGUUGCCUCCCUGAGGACUGCAGGUGACCUCAGCUAAUACCCCGUACGUGUGUCAGGAGAAGCAACUUCAUGUAGGUGUCAGACAAGUUUGAAAGAGUUUUCCUGCCACCACUUAGGAGCACAGCUGCCUAAUUUUGAAGUGUCCUGUGUCAGUUCUGUGUUGAGAAGGUUUGGACUGGAUAAUGGCAGGAAUUGUUCCCUGUGAGGGUGGACAGGCCAUGGCACAGGUGCCCAGAGCAGCUGUGGUUGUCCCUGGAUCCCUGGCAGUGCCCAAGGCUGGGUUGGAUGGGGUUUGGAGCAGCCUGGGACAGUUUGAGGUGUCCCUGGCCAUGGCAGGGGUGGCACUGGAUGGGCUUUAGGUCCCACCCAACCCAAACCAUUGUGUGACUCUGUCAGCCCUCAGGGCUCCCAGCACCAGCUGUGUCAGAGCCCUCCUAGCCCAGGCAGAGCCUGGAACUUGGUGCUGCUGCCUUGGCUCCUGCAGGGCUCGGCUUGGCCAGCUCAGCUCAGCUCAGGCCGCAGGCCAGCUCAGCUCAGCUCAGGCCAGAGGCCGGCUCGGCUCAGCCAGGCCAGCUCAGCUCAGCUCAGCUCAGGCCAGAGGCCGGCUCGGCUCAGCCAGGCCAGCUCAGCUCAGCUCAGCUCAGCUCAGGCCAGAGGCCGGCUCGGCUCAGCCAGGCCAGCUCAGCUCAGCUCAGGCCAGAGGCCGGCUUGGCUCGGCUCAGCUCAGCCAGGCCAGCUCCGUUGCUGGGUCCCUGAGGAGUGCCAGGAUAAGCGGUGCCAGCCGUGUGUGCUGUGCCCCUGGGACAGCCAGGAACAUAUUUAA
rnacentral:lncRNA from 1 species